CAAGACAACUUUACGGAGUUGACGAUUGACGGAGCGAAGCGACGUCAAAGCGUUCAUUAAAGUCGAGUUGGCUUAGGGAUACGUUCGUUGGGUAGGGGAGCGUUCUGUAAGCCUGUGAAGGUGUGUCGUGAGGCAUGCUGGAGGUAUCAGAAGUGCGAAUGCUGACAUAAGUAACGAUAAAGCGGGUGAAAAGCCCGCUCGCCGGAAGACCAAGGGUUCCUGUCCAACGUUAAUCGGGGCAGGGUGAGUCGACCCCUAAGGCGAGGCCGAAAGGCGUAGUCGAUGGGAAACGGGUUAAUAUUCCCGUACUUGGUGUUACUGCGAAGGGGGGACGGAGAAGGCUAUGUUGGCCGGGCGACGGUUGUCCCGGUUUAAGCGUGUAGGUGUGUGUUCCAGGUAAAUCCGGUUCACUUUAACACUGAGGCGUGACGACGAGGCACUACGGUGCUGAAGCAACAAAUGCCCUGCUUCCAGGAAAAGCCUCUAAGCAUCAGGUAACACGAAAUCGUACCCCAAACCGACACAGGUGGUCAGGUAGAGAAUACCAAGGCGCUUGAGAGAACUCGGGUGAAGGAACUAGGCAAAAUGGUGCCGUAACUUCGGGAGAAGGCACGCUGACACGUAGGUGAAGUGAUUUACUCAUGGAGCUGAAGUCAGUCGAAGAUACCAGCUGGCUGCAACUGUUUAUUAAAAACACAGCACUGUGCAAACACGAAAGUGGACGUAUACGGUGUGACGCCUGCCCGGUGCCGGAAGGUUAAUUGAUGGGGUCAGCGUAAGCGAAGCUCCUGAUCGAAGCCCCGGUAAACGGCGGCCGUAACUAUAACGGUCCUAAGGUAGCGAAAUUCCUUGUCGGGUAAGUUCCGACCUGCACGAAUGGCGUAAUGAUGGCCAGGCUGUCUCCACCCGAGACUCAGUGAAAUUGAACUCGCUGUGAAGAUGCAGUGUACCCGCGGCAAGACGGAAAGACCCCGUGAACCUUUACUAUAGCUUGACACUGAACAUUGAGCCUUGAUGUGUAGGAUAGGUGGGAGGCUUUGAAGUGUGGACGCCAGUCUGCAUGGAGCCGACCUUGAAAUACCACCCUUUAAUGUUUGAUGUUCUAACGUGGACCCGUAAUCCGGGUUGCGGACAGUGUCUGGUGGGUAGUUUGACUGGGGCGGUCUCCUCCUAAAGAGUAACGGAGGAGCACGAAGGUUGGCUAAUCCUGGUCGGACAUCAGGAGGUUAGUGCAAUGGCAUAAGCCAGCUUGACUGCGAGCGUGACGGCGCGAGCAGGUGCGAAAGCAGGUCAUAGUGAUCCGGUGGUUCUGAAUGGAAGGGCCAUCGCUCAACGGAUAAAAGGUACUCCGGGGAUAACAGGCUGAUACCGCCCAAGAGUUCAUAUCGACGGCGGUGUUUGGCACCUCGAUGUCGGCUCAUCACAUCCUGGGGCUGAAGUAGGUCCCAAGGGUAUGGCUGUUCGCCAUUUAAAGUGGUACGCGAGCUGGGUUUAGAACGUCGUGAGACAGUUCGGUCCCUAUCUGCCGUGGGCGCUGGAGAACUGAGGGGGGCUGCUCCUAGUACGAGAGGACCGGAGUGGACGCAUCACUGGUGUUCGGGUUGUCAUGCCAAUGGCACUGCCCGGUAGCUAAAUGCGGAAGAGAUAAGUGCUGAAAGCAUCUAAGCACGAAACUUGCCCCGAGAUGAGUUCUCCCUGAGACUUAGA
rnacentral:rRNA from 1 species